GAUGAACGCUGGCGGCGUGCCUAAUACAUGCAAGUCGAGCGAACGGACGAGAAGCUUGCUUCUCUGAUGUUAGCGGCGGACGGGUGAGUAACACGUGGAUAACCUACCUAUAAGACUGGGAUAACUUCGGGAAACCGGAGCUAAUACCGGAUGAUAUUUUGAACCGCAUGGUUCAAAAGUGAAAGACGGUCUUGCUGUCACUUAUAGAUGGAUCCGCGCUGCAUUAGCUAGUUGGUAAGGUAACGGCUUACCAAGGCAACGAUGCAUAGCCGACCUGAGAGGGUGAUCGGCCACACGGGAACUGAGGCACGGUCCAGACUCCUACGGGGGGCAGCAGUAGGGAAUCUUACGCAAUGGGCGAAAGCCUGACGGAGCAACGCCGCGUGAGUGAUGAAGGUCUUCGGAUCGUAAAACUCUGUUAUUAGGGAAGAACAUAUGUGUAAGUAACUGUGCACAUCUUGACGGUACCUAAUCAGAAAGCCACGGCUAACUACGUG
rnacentral:rRNA from 1 species